UUCUCUUUUUUUUUUCUUUUUUUUUAUUUUUUUUGAGUUUUUUGAUUGUGAGUGCCAAAAGCUCAGAUUGCUCUGGAAUUUUCUUCCGGAGCGCAUUUUUUUCCUUCUGUACGUGUAUGCGGUCAGAGUGUAGAUGGAGACGUUGUGACACAGAAAAUUCUCCCCUUCCGUAACAAGAAGAGUUGCACUGGCGCUUCGUGGAGGAUGUUCCUGCCGACUUCGAUCUGCGGAUGUGUUGGUUCAACUGUUAUUCGAGACAAAAAAAUCUCUCUACCUCAUUUUUUUAAUUCUUCUCGAUUUUCUUUGUCCUAGACUCUGGCGCUUUGGAGGACUUUUCCCUUGUGAUUUUUUUUUUGAUCUGUUGGAAUGUUUCGGUGUAAUAUUCCUUUGUUUUUUUUGUUUUGUUUUGUUUUGUUUUUUUUUUGUUUUCUCCUCGCCGUUUCCGUCUUAAAGGAAGCGUCAAUUCUGCUAUGAUCAGAGCGAUUGCUGGUGGGCGUUGGAUCAGGUCUUGUUAUUGGUGUGUUGCCCAUCGAAGGGAGUAGGUGUGGGCUACUUGUUGCCUUCUUGUAAGCAGUCUACUCGCUCGAUGAGCGACAGGGAAGUACCGGCUGAAUUCACGGCAGUGUUAUUGUUUUCAGUGUUCAAGUCUGGAUUGAGGUUCGAUUGGAGCGUGAUUCAGCUCAGAUUAGGUUUUGCUUCUAUGAGCUGCAAUGCGGCGAUCUUGCAACUGCUGCGAUGUUUUGGUUUUGUUUCAGUGGAGGUCUUUGAGUUGUCUUCGUUUUGUUAAUGUUCAACAUCACAAGUAAAUUGUAACUUCCGUGUGGCUGAUUUGCUAUGGAAAUGAAUCUCUCGCGAUGCCAUUGAGGCACCAAGAGGGUCGGUGGGGUGCUGUCCGACUCUAGAUUGAAGCUUCUUGUUUUUGUUACCUUAUGUUGUGCGGCUUAAGAGUUGGCAUUAUUACAUUGCCAAGAGUUGCAGGGCGGCAUUGCACAGGUCGAGGCGACAAGGCUGUGUCUUGUUAUUUUCUUCUGUUCCAACUUGGUGGGACCUACGGCUAGAACAGUCUUUGAUUUGCACUGUGGCUAGUGGACCACGCUCUUGGUUUUUCUUAAAGCAGCGAAGUAGUUGGCGGUGGCAUUCCAGUGUCCCCUCCUGCAUUGAAUCGCGGUAUCCUCCUUGGAGACAAGGUGCAUUGAGGGUGGUUGUGAUGGAAAUUGCACCAAUCCAACAACAAGCAUUGCUGCCAUACCAUCGUCCAAUCGCCCAGUGAAGGAAAGAGCCUCGUGAAGUGAUCUGGCGAAAGGCGCAAGACGGUAUUGGUGAAGAAUUCGAUUUGGAUCACUGAUCAAGACUAAUGCGGAGAGCUUUAUCGAUCGUGGAACUAUGGCGGAUAAUGACCAUGGCAGAGGAGCUGCCGCUUGUGUGGAUAAAAAUGUGCCGUCUAUCGCCUACAGCUACAUUGCGCGUGCUGUGGCUUGGUGUUGAUCGUAAGCAGGGUGGCGAAGCAUGUAGACCCUGGUGGAGUCAACUAAGGAGCCAACCCCUUCCGAUCCAGUGAGGCUCUCGGAUGGAUGAAGUUAGAUCAGGUCAAUUGAAGUAGACUUGAAAAAAUUAGGUUAAAAGAAUUUAGGUCAAAUUGGAUGAUUUUGUAUAUGGAUGAAAAAUCAAUGGAUUGGAUGAAUAUUUUUAAUAUG